GAUGAACGCUGGCGGCGUGCCUAAUACAUGCAAGUCGAGCGAAGCGGGGACGGGUGAGUAACACGUGGAUAACCUCCUAUAAGACUGGGGUAACUUCGGGAAACCGGAGCUAAACCGGUUCAUCAUAGAUGGCUGCGCGCUGCAUUAGCUAGUUGGUAAGGUAACGGCUUCCCAAGGCAACGAUGCAUAGCCGACCUUAGAGGGUGAUCUGCCACACUGGAACUGAGACACGGUCAAGACUCCUACGGGAGGCAGCAGUAGGGAAUCUUCGGCAAUGGGCGAAAGCCUGACCGAGCAACGCCGCGUGAGUGAUGAAGGUCUUCGGAUCGUAAAACUCUGUUAGUAGGGAAGCGGUACCUAAUCAGAAAGCCACGGCUAACUACGUGCCAGCAGCCGCGGUAAUUC
rnacentral:rRNA from 1 species